UAAAGCCCGGCCAGUUCAAUGUUCAGUUUGAAAAUAUGAAUGGACCAAUGCUGCUGACGUAAUCAAAACAAAACGUCCUCUUGAACGGUUCUCUGGGCAGAAAGAGAGAUACUUUUUCUCCCGUAAAGCCUGAAGGGAGAAUAGCAAUUUGGCCUACAGUGUCUUUCCAAAUCUGAUGUUGGAUUUCUGAAACUUCAGGCACAGCAAAAACUCUGAAGGAUUGGGAGUGCAGUGUUAUAUUUAACAAGCUCAAAAUGCUCACUGGCGCCGGGUUGAUAGCAGUGUGCAACAAUGUUUCGUAACUAAAUCACAAAGUGCACACAGUAGUACAGACAAACGAAGCAGAAACCAUUGAGGCGGUGUGCCAUUCAUUAGUCUGAGCUGGCUUCUGUUCCUUUGUAAUGUGGUACCAUGAUCAGAGAGAAGCAGGUGGGAAAUGGAUGUUAUGACAGUCAGUCUGCAGCAUCCGGAUGAGAGGGACUAAAUGCUGACAGAUGGCAGGAAGUUGCUACAGCUCCUUCAAAUUCCAGGCAUCAAGCCUGCUCUUCUAUCCCACCUAAAUUCUGAGUGACAAGGGCUAUCCUCUGAGGAGGCACCUUCUAAUCCCACAGAGAUCCUCAAGCUGAGUUCCAAUGUCGGUCCAGUGAGAGCCACUUUCACAGCUGAAUGUUCAUUGAGCAGGGCUACAUAGUAACAUUUUUGACAACACAGAUUCCUGUUGAAUUUUAUCAGCGAACAGAGAUGAUGGAUUUGAUUACACUUCAACUGUGUGGCACUCCGAUAAGUUGCUGCUAUUUUGGACAAACCAGAGAUGGAGCAGAGUCUUCAAAUAUUAGAAUGAUUUGAGGAAAAUAGCAUUCUGCUAUUGCUGAGGAUGAUAGACUGAAGGUUAGAUCAAUAACUGACAAGGACAUCAUGCACCUUGUGUGUAAUUUGUAUCACUAUGACUAUCCAAAACAUACACUGAUGUAAUUUAAAUGACCUCAUUGCUAAUGCAUGCCAACAGUAAAUGCUACAUAUUUAAAAUAUGUAAGAAUGGAAAACUGGUCCGGUAAUGAUUCUUGGAGACUUUAUGACAUUAAAUUUAUUAAACAACCACCUUCUGUAAAGUUAUAGAUAUUAUGACUACUAUCUCUGUCACUGUGUUCACUGGGAAUUAAAUUGUUAAAAAUAGAAACAAAA